GAAGGGUAACUGGUGUGCCCCCCGGUCUUCAAAACCGGUGUGGGGCGCCACAGGGCGUCCCGGGUGGGUUCGAUUCCCACACGU
rnacentral:tRNA from 1 species